GGGAAAGCCUUAAGCAGUUCUAUUCGGAAUAUUUAGGUUUUGGAGCUAUCAGCUACGAGAGUGCUUGAUUGAAAACUCCAGACGUUUUUUUGUCUCUUGCUAACUUAAAGAACGAACCAUACAAAGGCCAUCCUUUGGGGGAAAUCAUCAAUUUUCAGGAUCACUCGGACAUCUGAAAUAUCUCAUAAAGAGAUGCCAAGACUGGAACUUGUUUCUCUCGACAGCCAAGUUUGUUUGAACAUCGUCUGCGAUUCUGCGUUCCCUACCAGAGUACUCUGAAAAAAAACCCACAAAACCUACAAUUUCAACCUUCAAAGGUGCAGGUCAGAGCUCAGGAAUGGAGGAACCUCAAACUGUUGAUGAUUUUUAUCAUUACAACCAUUUCUUUAGCAUCUUACAGCACUUGUCAGUUCUCAGCUGAGGCUUACACACAAUGUAGUGCCUUCUGCAAUCAGAGCCAAAAGCUCACAUCAUUUCCAGAGAAAUCAACGGGCAAAUAAGUAUCUCCCAGAGGAGGAAAAUCCACAGCUUAAACAGAAGGGUUUACUUCCUGGAAAAGCAAUGCUUCUGGCCCAACUCAUAAUACAUCAGAAGAGUGCAAUGGUGUGAGUUAACCUGACCCCAUUCAGUGGCUACGCUAUGCAGACAUAAGAUAUCGGAACGGUUUCCUUCCCAUUUUUACUGCUACCUAAAGUUCUAUGUAGUAAAAUAAAUAUUUGUGUUCCAGAAUCAAAGCCAAAUUUCAAAAACAUCCUGCAAAUUAAAUGGUCAUUCAGAUUUACAGCACAAUAUUAAUUAACUCAGACUGUAUUUAAUGAUCAGAUAUGCCACAAUAUACGGUAUUGAAAUAUCUUAUAAUAUUAUGGCUGCUCUGAUUGCAUUACUGAGUGAAGUAACUUUAUUGUUUCCAGUGUUAAAAUCAGCUUCACCUAAAAUAGCUGAAGGAAGCAUUUAAUUCACUUUUUUCUUGGGAAACUAAACUCUUCCAAGUCAGUAUUUAAGGUAUGAGUUGUAGAGAGAAACCUGUCUUAUGUAACCAAAAAAAAGGAAGCAGUUGUCACAGGAAAUGAUCAGUUAAUAAGAGGCUGUCCACAAAAUGUAUGCAGCAAUUUGAGAUGUCUUCAAAAGUCAGGAGGGUGUUGUGCAAGGAAUUCAUGAAUUAACUAUGAGUACAGAAAUAUUUGGCAUUUUUCUUGAAAAAGUAAUUCCUGAAGGAACAUUACUUAAGUGGAAAUCUCAAUUUACAGUAUUAAAAACAGCAGCUUUCUUAUCCUCAUAGUUGUAGCAAAUAGGUUGAAAUACACAACAUGAACAGAAACCGAAAAAUAAAGGAAAAAGAAACAACAUCUAAGAUAUUUUAACCUUUGGUUAAAUUAGGUUAAAUUAAAUUUACCUUUGGUAAACUGAGGUCUUUCAGGCUGGUAAUAUUACAUAACCCUGUGAGCAUUUGCCUAGAGAGUAUUGUUGAAGGUACACAAAUACAUAACAAAGUAGUCUCAUUAAAAAUACUUGCUGGGCAUAUUUAUGAAAGAAGACUCACAGAUUCCAGUGCCACAGUAUAGAGGAAGGUGAUUCUCAUCCAUGGCAUGCUGAAUUUUCAGUAAAAAACUUUGACUGUCUUGUAUAGGCUACAAGGAAAGCCAUUUAAGAACUUUACCUCCAUCCCUCAGUUUAUCCUGAAGUCUGGUUAUAGCAGUACAUUUCUGUAAUAACUGGAGAUUUAGGGUAGGGCAUGCUCGGAACAUCAGGUUCUGGCAAAUUGUCUUCAGUGAAAAAUUGUGGCAACAAAUUUGGAAGCUUCCUCUAGGUCCUGGUCUACAUCUAGGUUUUAAUAUUCGCCUCUUUUAAUAACUUUGUCCAUUCUUCCUUCCUCCUCCAGAUUUCAUAUUCUUCUUCCUCUUUUGCUCUUUGCUUUCCAGCCUUAUCUUUUAAUAUCAAGCAAUUCUCAAAUCCUUUGGUGAAUAGCUUUUAAAACUCAUCAUCCCAACGGCAGCUCUCAUCUCUCUGAUAGCUGCCUACAGGAGCUGGCAACAGAGCAAUCCACAUGAAACAAUUGCUUUCAGAUAGGCCCUUUGGAUUGUGUUCAUGCAAGAAGGGAAUCCCAACAGCCACUCUGGAAACUCUGUAGGCCUUUCCAAUUCCCACUGAAAUCUAUGAAGAGACUCCUAAGCCUAAUCCAUCAGAAAUUCACGUUAGCAGCUGCUGGACCACAAAUGUUUGGCUGCUCUACAGACCACAUAUGGUAGCUGAUGCUCUGAUAAUGAGUGAGAGAUCUCUUGUCCACAUCAGCUGUACAGUGCUUAAUUAUAUUCCACCUUGCCCCUUUCCCAGAAAUAGGUCAGCUACAUGGAAGAUGAAUUAAUAUCUCUGGACAAAGGAUGAUGGAAGAACAUUUAAUCAUUGCAUAUAUUAUUAGAUUAUUGCAUAUAUUAUUAAAUUCACUGUUUCUAAUCACCAACUUUUUCUAAUUUUACCUCCUCUACUGAAUAAGAAUAGGCAAAGAUGUAUCUUUCUGCCAGUCUUUUUUUCUGCAGCAUUCUCUGGGUAAUACAUAUUGCUGUGUUGUUUAAACAGAAUGUAUAUUUUCCUGUUUCUUGAAAAGUCACACAAUUUACACAGGGACUUUCUGCCUCUCCUGAUUUCUGUUCCAGAACCACUCAAAUUUGAGAGAGCUGAGUACAUUCCUUUGUAUGAAUGUAUAUGAAGCUAAACUGGGGUAUUAUGAAAAACAGUUCACAAAGCCAGUGGAAAGCUAUAUAUAAAAUGAUAUUCUCAUUUCAGAUGAAGCUUGAGACAAAAGGCGUAUAGGUAAACACAGCUGCAACAUUUUUAGGCAUAUAAUCAAAUCCACAAAAAAAUAUUGGAAAACUAUGCUAAUUAUUGUAAUUAAAUUGUGAACAGUAUUGAUAGAAAAAUAUCUUUAAAGCAUAUAAAAUCAAAAUGAAUCUUAUAACAUACGGGAAUUUAUUCUAGAGGAAAGAUGUGCCAGGACAAAAGUACCAGUUACCUACUUGCUGUGAGUAGAAGUUGGAACUUAUAAGAGAAGCAAGAAAUGCAAGAUAUAUUGUUUGGUACUCGUUCAGUAAACCCACCGGUUUAUGAAGAUUUAGAAAAUUAGCAUCAAAACAAUAACUGAGAGUCUUUUUUAAACAUUCUAUGUUAAGACAUUUCUCUCUUCAUCUGCAGAUCCCAUGUUAUUCCAUUCUCAUACCAUGUUUCUGUAUCCUUUUUCUUUCUGUUCCUUCCUAUCAAUCUUUAGAGUCUCUGAGCUUUUCCUUAUUCCAUAUAGAUAUUUUCUCCUUUUCUCAUUGCCAGUUUCACAGAACAGAAGAGAUUACUCAGCUUUCUGCUGAACUUGCUUCCACUGGGUUUAAGCAUAAGCUUAAAAUUGAAUUUGUUAGUGAAACACCAUUAAGUUCCCUGUGCAGUCUGUGGAGAAAGGCAAGCUCCCACAGAAUGGAUUCAGAUCCAGAGUAGAAGCUGAACCAGACAGUUUGCUUGUCUUCCAAAAGGUGUCCUGACUAUGCAGGCAGCCUAAGGCAAUCACACACCUGAAGGAGGUCUCCGUCAGCUCUUUGGGUUCAGCGCUUGGUUGUUCCAUGGCUUUGUGUUUUCCAGUUUAUGCAUUUUAUCCAACAGAUGUCACUUACAUUUUGCUCUCCAGAGCCCUUCUAUUCAACAGAAUCCUCUAAAUUAAGUUAUAAGGAGGGAGGAUAAAUAGUCCUUAAGUAUCAACACAUUAGUCAGCAUACAUGUAAGGAACUAAGAAAGCCCAUAUACUACUCCAAAGGCUGCCCCUGAUCAUGGCUCCAGCCAUAUAGGAAUAGAAACAGGCGUGGGCCUGCUUAAUCCCCUUUGAAAGUGGGGAAUGGAUGCAAGGGCCUUGACUCCACCCCUACCAGUUACUUGCAAACACCCCUGGACUGCUUAUGCUGGUCCACUGCACCAGCCUUGACCACAGCAGGAUUGCUGUAGCUCAGUGCACGUGCUGGCCCACCGCGCAGUCCUGGUCCUGCUGCCCACUACUUGGCAGAGCAAAGACCUGACUCAGGGGAGAAUCCAUGGCCCUGCAGGGGCACCCUUGGCUGAGUGAAGUCUCAGGAGCCCUGAGUACAGAGCAUGGAGGAGAGUGAGUUAUCCACCCUGGAGAGGUCAGUCAGGCCUUAAAGGAGAAGCAAGAAGGCAACAGUAGUUCCACAGAUCUGACUGGCUAGCAGGUAAUUGUUUGGAGCAAUGGGCUUUUUUCUCCCCCCAUUCUGAAACUAUUUUUCUUGAUUUAUUAUUUGGAGGGAGAGCUGUCAUCUUUCUUUCACACAGAAACAUUUAAUUUUAAGAUAAUUUGCACAUAAUACUUUGCUUUUGCAUUGCUUCAAACAGAACGAUUUCCCAUUAAGAUAAAGCAAGGAUGAGCAGACUGUGGCCACUAAACAGAGUGUGCUGACACAGCAGAGCAGCAGUAUAAUGACAUUAAGGCUCAGAUUUUUAAAACAUUCAAAAAAUAAAUCAAAUUACAAAAGAAAAAAUACUCAAAAAUUGUCUGAGCAGCACAGAGUCACUUGGAGGUCCUUCUCAAACACAGAACAAUUGGCUUUACCUACAGAACUUAACUGUUCCAGCUGGUCAUUACCUGACCGCUAAAGCCCUUUGGAUGAGUCAGUAGUGUUUAAAUAAUCCACAUCCAGACACUGUCUUACACCUUCCUUAGCGGACUGCAGUGCAAAUGCAUGGUACAAUUAAUUAACUCUGGGACCAAAACCAGAGUCUCCAGCUUCCAAAACAAAUGCUCAACCGUGUAGCCAAAAGCACAGCUCCAAUGGCAUAAGCCAAUUUACUCUCUGUUUUAUUAAACUUCCACAGUGUUUAGAAUCAGUAAGUCACAGUGGAUCUGGCACUUUAUAUGAUGAACUUUGGUGAGCACUUCCUUAUCCACCUCAAACUCAGUUAUAAGCCUGUAUUGUGAAUUCCUGUGUUUCGGGCGUUUCUAUUUUACUGCAAAUCAUAUGUAAUGAUGCAAAAUUUGGCAACAUAUGUAACAAUGUCUGCACCCAAUUAAAACACAUGUCUGCCCAUA